CUACGCGAUCGAUCAAUGCGAGAGAGAUCGAUCAACGUGCGAGGGAGAGAGAUCGAUCGAUGGAGCCGGAUGAUCCAGCUUCUGGGAGAUUUGGGAGCUUUUCUCGAUCGUCAGUAGCUCGACGAGGCCAGGGUUAUAUGCCGGUCCACCGCAUCGAUCAGCUUCGCCGCUACUUGGCCCGCAAAGAGUUUAGCGAUGUGCUGAUGGAUCGCGUCUACCUUGGCAAGAUCAACGCGGAGGAGAAAAGAAAGAAAUAGAAAAGGAAAAGAGAAAGAAGAAAGGAGGA